GUGCUCACUUCGGCAGCACAUAUGCUAAAAUUGGAACAAUGCAGAGAAGAUUAGCAUUGCCCCCUUCCAAAGGAUGACAUGCAAAUUUGUGAAGAAUGUUGAAAAUGUUUUU